rnacentral:lncRNA from 1 species
GUGUUUUAACUUCUAAAAAUAUAUAUACAAGGGAGGUGUAUAUGCUUAAAUGUGCAAGUGCAGGGGAGAUGCAUGAACAAUUUGGGUGAAUCGAUUAACACAUACCAUUUCAUCAUAACACUUUUGUAUAGUGGAACUAAGGUUAUUGCCUUCCCAAUGGUGCAGUUCACCCUCUUCCUUUUCAGUCACUUGUACUUUGCAUGGCUUUGGAAUGGAUAAGCUUCCGUGAGAAAAAUUCUUCAUGUUCGGACAAUGUGUCAUAGAAACUCGUUCCAGUGAUGGGAAUUCAAGAGUGUAAUUCUCCAAACAAAAGCUGGUAAGCCUUGGUAAAUCAUCAAGUAUCAAAACUUUUAAUUUGCUGAAAGCAAUACGAUUCUCCUUCACUUCUUGUCCAACAUGUCCUACGAUUUCUUCUAAUUUUGGGCAACCCGAUACUUUAAGAUUCACCAGGCUACUAGGAAUUCCAACCUGAAAAUAAGCAAAAGUGUGUGCAUGUGUGGUGUAUUAAAAAAGUAAAAAUGUAAGAAUAUCAUUCAACUAGGUUCAAAGUAUGUUUAAUCAUACAAUUAUACAUUUUAUGAACAUAACAAAUUAUGAAAUGUCUACUAGAUAUUUUUUGUUAAACAAAAAUAGAACAAGAUAAAUAAAUAAAUAAAAGCCAGAUAAACAAAGAUAAUAAAAAUGCAAUUACACUAUUUAGUAUUAGAAACGUAGAAAGAAUUUAAGGCAAUUUCUAAAUAUUUUAGACUUCUUUUGCAUCUUGAUAUCAGUUUUUAAGCAUAAAUUUGCAAAUUUCAACUAUUCCUUUUAAAAAAAAAACUCAACCAUUUUUCCCUUUUCCUUGGUUCCUUUUUUUAAUGUAUAUUUAAAAAUGGAAAAAAAAAUUGGAAAAGAUUUCCCUAUACUGUCAACAAGGGACUGCUGUAAAGUGGAUCUUUAUUAAGUACUUCCAGACUCGAGGAAAUUUCUUUACAAUCAAGGGUCAGUUGUAAAUAAUCAUGAAUUUGUGGUUAAUUAAUGGCAUAAUCAAUUCGUAACUAAACUAGAGAUAUUAAUUAAAUUUGAAGACUUUUAUUUUUUUUUUCCAAUCGAAACGUGAAGAAUUAAGGAAAAGAGAAAUAUAUAGAUGAAUUUGUGAACCUAUAAGAUGAGAGACGAUCCUUUAAUUUUUUAAAAUCGUACUUUCAGAGUGGUGGUUAAUUUGAAGCACAAUACUUGAAAUAAAUAAUUAGUGGCUGAAUACCAUUUGUAAACACAAAAAUGGUUAAAAAAUGGUUGAAUUUUAUCUGGGAAAAAAGAUUCGAAAUGAAUACAGCAACCUUACCAAUGGAGGAAAAAUAUUUCUUAGGUUAUCACACCACCAUAUGUCCAAAUUCUUCAAUUUGCUGAAAGACUCCGAAGCAAGCUGGUGGUGCCAUAUUCUUCUCAAAUUAUCCAUCAUCUCCAUAAGUAAUACCUCCACCCUAGGAAGUCGUACCUGGCAGUUAAAGAUUAAAUAACUAAUUAAUCAAUUAAUGGCAUAAUCAAUUGAUAACUAAAUUAGAGGUGGAUAUUAACUAAAUUUGAAGACUCAAGGAAAAGAAAAAUUAAGUAUUGUGACUAAAAUUAAUUUUUUUAUUAAAAAAAAAACCUUUUCGUCAAAAAGAGGAGGAGGUUGCAUUUCAGAAUGAAUGGUGUCUUCUGGUGAGCUCGUAGAGAUGAAUCUUAACAUAUUACUGCAACCAUUAAUCCGGAGUUCUAGCAAAGAAGGGAAUUCAACAACUAAAUCUGAAUGAAUAUGUCCCGUAUUGGCGAAGCUUGUUAGUUCUGGAAGACAAUGGAGCUCGAGGGAGUGUAGUUUAGGGAAAUGAAUAUGUCCUUCUUCUCUUUCUGACCACCCCGUGGUGUCGACUACCCCUUCCAUUGACUUACAAGCUCUUAUCUCAAGAUGUUGGAGUAGCAAAAGACUAUUAACCAUAGAAUACGAAAACAGAUACUUCAUACGAUCACAACCGCUCACGAUCACCUUUGUUAAAUUUUGACAACAGUACAUUCCUUGAUUAUGAUCGGCCCAUAAUUUUUUCAUGUUUCUUAAUAGCAUGAGAUUCAAUUCCUCUAAGCUCGGAAGAAUAACCUGCAAAGAAAACCCGUACAUUUUUGUUCCUUCAAGUACAACCGUCUAGUAUAAUAUUCUUUUGAUGAUCGAAGAUUAAUCGUGAUAAUAAAUUAAUCAAUUAAUUAUUGAACAGAAAAUUAUCACCUUUGGAGCAGGAUCAUCAUCAGCAAUGAUUUCGUUGAAUCCCAAAGAAGUUGUUGGUUUCUCCCUGUCGGGUCCUAUAAACAAACCAAAACAAUAUACAUAAUUAAUCUUUGUCGUUGUUUUUUUUUUUCAAAAUAAUUGAGGUGAAGUCCAUAAUCCCACCAGUACUUAAUUUCAACACUUACCAACAAUCAUUUCCAGAUCACCGCCAAAUAACACUUCUACCUUUUGAAGCCGCAGUAGGUUUUUGGCCAUGGAGAAUGAGAAAAGAUGCUUCAAUUUGUCACAGCCGCGUACUAUUAUAAUCCUUAAGUUGCUGAAAGAUUGAUCUUCUGUGAGUUGGCUGUCACAUAUUGUCUCCAACUUGCUCAAACACCAAAGAGACAAUGACUCCAGCAAGGGGAAGACUUUGCGGCGAACCCGUCCAACUGAACCGACAAUGUGUAAAAUCUCAGAACAACUUUCUACGUGAAGAUGCUUCAAUCGUGGAAAACCUUCCCCAUCAUCUAAUUCAUGAACAACAUUCUGAACACCCUUCAGUUCUUUUAGAUAGAGAUAUUCAGUUCUCUUCAACAACAGUUUCAUCCUGUAACGGACCAGCUGCUCCACCACUCAUUUCCUAUACAUAUCCUAUAGCUUUGCAAUUCCAGAUUUAACGGACCAGCUGCUCCACCACUCAUUUCCUAUACAUAUCCUAUAGCUUUGCAAUUCCACAGAGACCAAAUCCUGCGGUAGAAUUUCGGCAUCCCGAACGUGUAUCUCCAAAGUAGUUAGCUUUGACAACCCAUUCAAUUCAGCAAGACUGGCGUUACUUCCUCCUUCAACCUUCUCCCAUUGUGAAAAGCUGUUACCAAUGUAUAGUUCUUCUAAUCGAGAUAAUUUUGAUAUGACAUUUGGAGCUAUCACCACAAGGCUGCUACAAUUUCUCAAAUCUAGCAACUGUAAUCUCGUCAAUUGUCCAAUUACAAGUGGCAACUCCUUAACAUCAGAAUCUCGAAAGCUGAGAAUCUCUAAUUUCUUUAGCUGUCCAACUAUUGCUAUAUCGUUCAGUCGGCAACCAUCUAAACAUAAUGUUUGAACGUUAAUGAGGCAACCAAGUGAUGAAGGUAAUGAAGAGAAAAAUAUUCCAGUAAAGUCUAAAACUUUGAGUUCUUCUGCCCCUUCAAAAAAGAGGUGUGAAAUUUGCAAAGAGCUAUCAUGCUUUGCAAACAAAAAAAAUAACUUGAGUUGGGGACAUUCCAACCUCUCAGGGAGCUCUUGAAUAUCUCUAUAAGGUAAGGAAAUAGCGAUUGGACCUUUCCGUAUUGUCUCUUCCAUCUCUCUCUCAAAGUCAGCAACAUUUGGAAUAUUAAACAUAAGCUUCUCUGCGGCAAUUGAUACAGCAACAACAUGAAUGACGUCAUGCAUUUUAGCUUCAUCUUCAGCAUCACCGUCCAACAAUAAGCAUGAAGCUUUUAGACUGUCGAUCAAUGCAUCCACUCUAUUCCUUGCUGCUUCCAAUGUGUAAACAUUUCUAAAUAGACCCAAACCCAUACCAUAUCUCAAUAAGUAAUGUACGUGUAUAGGAUGACCUUCACCAAACAGAGUACAAAGAAGGAACAAAGAUUUUGCUUCAUCGCUUUCCAAAAAAUCGUAACUCAAUUUUAUGGAAGAAUACACAUCUGCAUCCAUACCACGAAUUUCUCUUAGAUUGGAACUUCUUAGCUGAUUCAAUGCAUCCUUCCAACUGGCAAGACUCUUAUUUUUCAGAGCACUUGCAACUGUUCUCAGUGCAACAGGCAAUCCGCCGCAUUUUUCAACGAUCUCAUCUGCAGUGGGUUGAAAAUCAUAUGUUUUUUUUGAAUCACCCACUAUCUUCUCAAAUAACUGCAAUGCUUCAUCUUUGGAUAAAGCAUUGAUCGAGAAAUUUUUCUGAGAAUUCAUAUCAUUGCACAAUAAAUCUCGACUUCGAGACGUCAAUAUUAUUGUGCGUCUACUCCGAUCGUCCUCUCUAUCUUUCUCAUCAACAUCCCCAUAAGGAAUUCCAACUUUAUCGAACUCAAGUUUUGUCCAAAUAUUAUCCAGUAUAAUGAGGAGCCGCUUCUCUUGCUUCAACCUUUGACACAGUCGAGAAGCUCUUUGAAAUUCAUUCUCAUUCAAGUCAAAUUCCAUGCCUAAAUCAAAAGCAAGUUUGUCUUGAAUUUUAUGAUGAUCUGGUGUCUGUGUUACCUCAGCCAUAACGACCUUAUCGAACAACUUAUCUUCCAUCACUUGCUUUCUGACUUGCUUAACUAGCGUGGUUUUACCCACGCCGCCCAUCCCAUAGACCCCAAUUAUUUUGAAACUAUCAUCCUUCAACGCAUCCACAACAUCUUGAAAUACUUUCGUUCUUGAAUCGAAGGCCUCGUAAUCUUUCACUGGCAUAUAUUCUGUACUCUUUGGAGCAGGACGGUAGGAAACACUAGAGAAGGUGCCUUUUCCCUCGAGACUAGCGGCAGCUUCUGCGGCCUUUGCUGCUUGUUUACUAAGCUGGUAACGAGAAAUCAAGUUGGGGCACAACCCUUUGAAGCAGGACUUCUUAGCUCUAUCUUCAUCAUCAAUGAUGGAUUUUGCAACCCCUUCACUGAUGAAUUCAUCAACUUUAUUUAGCCAGUCUGUGACACCCUCAUAAAUCUCAUCCCCUUGUAGUCUAGCAUGAUUAACAGGUUGUUGCACCGUUUCUCUUCUAUAUCCCAGCUGCUUCACUUGAUCUUUCAGGCCAUCUAUGUAGCUCUGGUGCUUGAACACAUAAGAUAUCUGCCGUAUAAUCAGUUUGAACAGUGACUUUGAACCUUCUGAUACAAUGCUGGAAAAAGCAGCCAGACCCACUUCUGCCAUUGCCUGCUGCUUAACAAAUCUAAUAAUAUGUCAAAGAAAGGGGAAAGGAAUACAAAUAAAUUAAAAUAAACUAGAGAGAGAGAAAACGACGGCAAACAGUAUCGCAAAAUUGAUCUUGAAUCAACUGAAACAUGAACAGAGCAUUUUUUCUUCGUUCUUAAGGAUCAGAGUUUUUGCUAUUAACAGAAACGUGCUUCAAGUGUCCCAAAAAAAAAAUGAUAAAUGAACAAGCCAUAGAAAUUUUAUCUUGGAAAGUGGAUGGAAAUUAAGAAAGAAAUUGUAUAGAGAUCAAGCAUCAGAGAUUAUGUUAUUAAAAGAAAUUAAUUGAAGGUUGUGGAAAUCCUGUUUAAUUAUGGAAAGUUGAUGAGCUUCUGUAAUCGCCUUGAGUAUUUAAGUGCAAUUUUAAUGAGCAAAAAGUUACUGUUACCUGCAGAGGAAUGUAAUUAUAGAGAGCUUAUGGGAGUAAUGAUAAUGAUUUGCAAAAGAAGAAGACUCAAUCAUGCAGCCCUUAAUUUCUUUUAUUUUCAGUCGCCGAAGAGGGAAUCUCUUUUUUAUUUUUUUUCCAAAGGGAAUCUCCUUUCCUAAUAUGACAUAAUUAAAGCAAUCGGUAAAUAGUACAAUAAUAAUAUAAUAUAGUAAGUUAAAACACCGACGUAUUUGUAAUAUUAAUGGUGGGAUCCAUAUGUUUGUACUGAUUAAAUUGGUGGACCAGAAUUUAUUUGACCUUACUUGUUUUCUAUUUAAUUAAAAAUUGAAACGACAGAGAAAUAUUGUCGUAAUGAUGGUUUCGAUUGUGGAGUUCCGCUGUGGAUAGCACUUGCAAUACUGAAAAAGAAGCUUUCGUCAACUUUCUCACAUGGACGCGCACCAUCACGCAUAAUUGCAUAUUGCAUUAUUUCUCUAGAAAAGCAAAAGCAAGAUUAAUUCUUUUAAUAAGCAAACGCGUAGGUGGGAAUCCAUUCAUUAAACAAGUGGAACAGCAAUAUAUUAAACCAAUGAUAAGCAUUCUUAAGUGGGAAACCAAUUAUGACAGAUAAUUCAAAAUCUGAAUCCGCCUGAUGGACGGGUUUGACCGCAGAGCUCAAGAUAAUCUGAACCACUCUCCUUUCGUAACUGAUAGAUAAUUUCAAAACAGGGGAAUGAAAACAGAGGAGCCCUGUUUUUCCUUCCUUUUUUUUUUUUUUAACCAACUCUUCUUCCUUUAUAUAUUUUCCUUGGAAUUUUAGGUAAACGAAAAAACUUUGAGAAUGAUUUCAAGAGAAUAGGUGGGUAAUAACUAAAAUAUUUAUUUUUAUAUAUUUGAUAAGCACACUCACUAUUAAUAAAACCCAUUAAAUAUUACAACUUAAAUAACUUCUUGUAGUUGAUUGAUGGUAUGUUUGGAAUUUCUUUUACUUCCCAAGAAUUAAUUUUUACCUUGAUUAUCAGAAAAUUAAUUUUAUGAAUAAUUUAGUCGGGUGUUUGGUAAAUGAUGAUUAUUUGACAAUCAGUUGUAAAUAAUCUACUAGAUAAAUCUGGUAAGUGAAAAUUAAAAGUAUAAUGUUCAUGUGCAAAUUACAAAAAUAUACUCAUUUACUUAUCUGUAAUUUACUUAGAAUAUUAUUAUUUAAAUAAUUUUUCUUAUUCAUUGGAUUUUUAAGAGCAUAUUCUAUUUUGUUGAUUACAUAUUUAAAUAAUUUUUUAUUAACUAUUUUAAUUUACAAUAAAAAUUAACUAUAAUAUAUUUAACUAAAAAAUUUGUUAUGUAGUCCGUAAUAUACACAAAUACUUGAAUUGAUUAAUAAACUUAACUGCAAAAAAGAAAAUGCAAAAAUUUAAUCUUUAUAUAAACUUUUAUGUACACAAAACUAUUGUAACAAAGUAAUUCAUAGAAAUAUAAUAUUAUAUACAUGUGUAAAGAAAUAUAUAACUAUAAUAUUAUCCACUUGCAGCACUAUUAUUUUUCAAUCUCUCCAUCUCUUGAUCUUCAAGAACAUUAGUACCAUGAUCUGCUUCUUGAGUUCGACCUCCAUUUCCACAGCAUCAACAAGAUAAUCAAUUUGCCGUGAAAGCCUUACAGCUCCUCCCACUUUCCUCCUUUUUGGAGCCACUCUUUUUCCUUUUCUUUCUUUAAUAGCUUCUAUGGAAACAAACUCAUCGAACUACCAGUACAUUUUUCAAUUAGAUAGGACUGAUAGUAGAUAUUCAGUACUCUCCGAUGGUGUGCAAACAUGAUCAUCAGUGAUUGUUGUCUUAAAAAGCAUUCUAUUUAAUUGUUCCUCUGACUCUGGCAUGCAAAAUUUCUUUAUUCACGAAUUUCCUACGUAUGUUGAUAUCAUAUUAAAAUGAAUUCAAGAUCACAUAUUAUUUUGCGUGACAUUAAAAUUUAGCCGAAUGGAAAAAAAAAAAAAACUUCCCUUUUUGUUUGUCCCACAACUAUAUAGUCUCAUUUUGGUAAUAAGCUCGCAACAUGCACGGGAAUGAAGAUCUAUUAAAAACUUCCCUAUGCAUGUUGUGAGCUUAUUACCAAAAAUGAGACUAUAUAUUUUAGCCGAAUGGUAAAAAACUUCGGAUGGAGGAUGUGCCAUCUUUUUAUUUUAGAUGCUUUCGGAUGGAGGAUGUGCCAUUUUUUUUAUUUUACAUGCUUUGUAAGACUUUUGAUGAUCGAGUGCAGUCAAUUAACAAAAGCUUACAUAUUAUUUAGGUGCUGAGAUGUCUGUUCUUGAUAAAGUAGAUUUAUUCACACCCAAGCCAACGUAACCAAAGCCUAAUAUACACAAUAAUUAUUUUUGUUAAACUGAUUUCUGGCUAAUGAGAUCUUUGAAAGCAUUCAAACAAGCCACAGAACUCAUAGGAAUGCCCUGAUAAAUAUACGGUGAAGCAUGUGAGCUCGUUUUUUAAUCUCUUGAUCACUCAUAAGCUUUUCUAUACCACUCACAAUAUCAUUCUUUUGAAUCGAUUUUGAUUGAUCAUCAGCAAUCAUGUACCCCCACCUUUAGAUGAUUGAUCACUAAUUUGGCAUUGUAAUGUUAAUCAUCUCUAAUUGGCCAUGCUAAAAUUGGGACCCCACAACCAAUUGCUUCUACCGUUGAAUUCCAUCCACAAUGAGAUAAAAAUUUACCCAUGAUUCAGUAUCAAUAAUUGUGGCGCCCAUCCAUCUAUUAUCAAUCCCUUGUUACUGGCCUUACUAUCCAAACCACUAUGAAAAUAAUUGCCUUCUGCUGGUCUGUCUAAGUCGGUUAAAUGACACGGAGGAUCCAAUCCAUCAGCACCAGUUUGAAUUACCCAAAUAAAUGGUUUAUUUGAUACUCCUAAAGCAUUGGCUAGUACUAAAUACUCAUCAAACUUGGGACCCACUUUGGUACCAGAUGACACAUAUAACACAGAUCCACGUGAUUUCAAAUCCAACCAUUGAAUGAUCUCAUCUUCGUUCAUGUGUGACAAAGGAGUUGAUGAGAGUAAUAACAGAAUCAUUCACCCCUUUUUAUAUCAUGUAUUUGGUUACUGUUGCCCUGUUGACGCAUGUAUUAAAUAACCGUUUGUAUUUUUUUUGGUUGUUGCUUAACAAUGUGUGUGUGUGCGUGUAUAUAUAUAUUUGCUGUUGAAAAAAUUGGAUUCAAAUAAAUUAAAAUGAACUAGAGAGGAAGAGAAAGAAAGAAACGACAGCAAACAAUUGAUAUUGAUCUCGAACCAACUGACAAUUAAGCAGAGAAGUUCUUUCUUUUUUUUUUGUGUAUUUUUCUUUUCGCCCGCCCCCAGCCACGCCCGGACCCCCCCUCUCAGAUUAGAGUUUUGACUAUUAACUGAAAGGUUUCAAGGGUAUGAAUGAAAAAGCAACAUUCUUUUUUAGAAACUAUUUUAGAGGAGGGAUGCAAAUUAACAAAUGCUAAUAACAAGAACACAGAAGUUAACAAUGAACAGUAACUUAAAUCAAGAAAAUUAAAUGACAAGAUUGAGACAAAUAGGAGAUAUUUUUUCUUGGACGUUAAGAAAUAACUACUGUCAAGGUCAAGUAGAUUAUGCUAUUAAUAGAAAUUAUCAAAGGAUUUAGAACAAGUUCACCUCUUUAAUUAUCCGGGAUCAGAUAAUUGAUGAGCUUCUCUUUUUGGCCUUGAAUAUUUUAAGAAUAAUUUUAAUGAGCAAAAAGAUCACUGGUAACUACUGAAAAAUAAGUGAGAAAAGAGUUUGAUGAGAAUAAUAACAAUGAAUUGUAGAAGAAAAAGACUUAAUCAUGCACCCCCUUUUCAUAUAUUAAUGAAGCUGCUUAAUAUGAAGAACAGAGGAAUCGAGUGCAGCUUAUUCAGCUGUGCUUGACUGCAGCAGAUUCACUCCCUCAGCUGAUGUGGUAUCGUGACGUGGCUUAGUUAGUUACUCUGAAUAAGCAUUCUUCAUAUGUGUGUAACAGAUUACUAACAAAUUGUAACAAGCUAUUCUCAUGUCAUAUAAAUAUCUGUGUAAUCCGUUUAGAUAUAAUAAUAAGAAGUUUCUCAAGUCUGCAUUAUGAUAUUUUCUUUCAUUUUCUUUUAGCUUUCUCACUUGCCAAACACAAAUACUUAAAGUUCUAUCAUGGUAUCAGAGCUAUUCGUUUGAUUUUAGUAAAAUACUCAACCAUACUCAUAGACCCUUUCUUAACAAUUUGGAUUUGCAUUCUAAGAGUUUGAAUUCGAGCUUGAGACUGUGAAAUGAACAUACUGUUAAGUGAGUCCCAAAGCUGCUUUGAAGUAGUGCAGUCGAUCACAGUUGACAACAAGCUUUGCUGAAUAGAUGAUAGCAUCCAGCUCAAGAGGAGUUGAUCUGUUUUCACCUAAGCAAUGAAAUCAGGAUUUGCAUAUCGUAGCUCAUUUACAUUUGAUGAUGAAUGUGAGGACAAGGAUGCCUAAAGUGUAUCCCUGAGUUAUUAAGCAGAGAUGAAAAGGACCUGAAUUCCCCACCCCAAUCUGUUUGAACAACCUUGAUGUUUCUUUGUAAAUGUUUUUCAAUGAAAUUUUUAAAACUAACAAAUACAGGCAGGGCAUCAAAUUUUGCUCUUAAUGGGAAAAUCCAAGUAAACCUGCUAAAAUCAUCAAGUAUGGACAUGUAAUAGGUGUAACCUUGGCUGGAAACAACAUGAGAAGGUCCCCAAAGAUCUGCAUAAAGAAGUUGUAAUGGUGCUGUAGAUGUGGUUUGAACAGAAUUAAAAUAAAGCAUAUGAUUCUUCCCAAACUGACAUGCAUUACAGAAUUCUAACUCUUGAAUUUUAUUGAUAUCAGCAAACUUUUUACAUGAAUUCAGAACUGUUUUUAAUGUGUGAAUGGCAGGGUGCCCCAAUCUUCUAUGAAGAAGAUUUACAUCAAGAGAUUUUUCAGUCACAGCAGACAAACAAACUUUGUUAGUGCCUUGACAAGAACUGGAACUAAGUUUUUCCCAAGUUGAAUGAGAAAGAUAAGCAAAAAGAGACUGAAACUUAUUUUGACUAAGAUUGACUGUAUUGACAGCAACUGACUGAGUGACAGACUGAAGAUGAGAGGAUGAGACUGAACUUUUGAUUUUAUAGAGGCCUCCUUUAGCAACUCCUUCAAGCAAGAUGAUCCCGGUGCUCCUGGCCUUAAUGAAACAAGAAGUGCCAACAAAUUCAAGUGUAACAUGGUUGUCAGCAAGCAGUUUAGAAACACUAAGCAAGUUUUUGGUAAUUUUUGGUACAUGUAAAACAUGAUUAAGAAGCAAUGAUUCAAAGGUAUUUGUGACAAGCUUAACUGAUCCAAUAUGUUCAAUAAGCAAUGCAUUUCCAUCACCAACCAAUAAUUGUUCAUUACUAAUAUAAGCUUUAGAAUUGACAAGCUUACCUAAAUCAUUUGUGAUAUGAUUUGUGGCUCCACUAUCAAUAUACCAUUAGGGAUCUUCAACAAUCUCAGGAUUUGCAGCACAGUGUGGCUGAUUUGGUGGAGUUGAAGUACUAGGCACUCCAUUAGUGAAACCAUGUGCAGAUGGUGAGAAUCCAUUAGUGUAACCAGAAGUAAAGUUAUUAAAACCAGUGGUGUGGUUAAGAGGAGCAUAACCAGAAACGAUAGUAGGAUCUGAAUAUGCCAUAUUGGCUUGAAAAGCAGCACCUCUCGGCAUAUAAGAGUUUCCAAAAUUUGAUCCAAAAUGAGGACCAGGAAACAUUGAACCCCUUCCAAAACCAUUAAAAAACCUGCCUCUACCAUAUUGACCUCUGAAAUUUCCUCUACCAAAAUUCUUUUGAGGCACAAAAGAAGGAUUAAACAUGUUCUUGCACCUAUUUGCUCCAUGUCCAGGAAUGAAGCAAAUUUGACAGACAACAUCUGAGAAAUUUCUUCCACCAGCAAAUUGAGAUCCAUUAUUAUUAUAACCACCAUUUGGACCAUUAUCACCACCAAAGUUACCUCCAAAGUUUUUCUGAAAGCCAUUGUUAUUUUACCAGAAUAUGAAUCUUUCUGAGCUACAUUUGCUGACAUAUGAUGCAUAACAUCACUAGCAAGUUUUUCUUUCUUUUGUUCAACCCUAUUUUCAUGAUUUAGAAGCAACGAAUACAGAUCAUCUAAGGUAAUUGUUCCUUCUCUAGCUAGAACAGCAGUUGUCAAUGACUCAUAAUCAGAAGAGUCAAGACCAAUUAACACAUGCAUAACAAAGUCAUUAAGUUAUACUGGUUUUCCUGCUAAGGCUAAUGUAUCAACUAGUCAUUCAAGAUAUGCAACAGACUUUUGCCUUGAAAGAGCUAGGAGAACUCAGUUACUUCUCAGGCAUUGAAGUUUCUAAAAUUCGAAAUGGAAUUCAUUUGUCUCAGGUUAAGUACAUUGUUGAUGUGUUGGCAAAGCAUGAUUUAGUCAACUGCAGUCCAGUGCCAACACCUAUGUCUACAGGCCAACAGCUCACCAAAGCUUUAGGUUCUGAAAUUUCCAAUAUCUCUCAAUAUAGAAGUAUUAUUGGAGCCCUGCAAUAUGUUAGUCUCACUAGACCAGAAAUAGCCUUCACUGUAAAUAAGCUCAGCCAGGUUCUUUCCAAUCCAAGAACUGCACAUUGGGAAGCAUGCAAAAGGUUGUUAAGAUAUCUAAAAGGCACAAUACAUUUUGGUCUGCAGUUCUACAAUUGUGGAGCUAUGCAGAUAAAUUGUUUUACUGAUUCAGACUGGGCUUGUGAUCGAGAUGAUAGGAAAUCAGUUGCUAGUUUUGGAGUUUAUCUAGGAGCUAAUCUUGUGUCAUGGUCAUCUAAGAAACAAGCAGUUGUCUCAAGAUCCAGCACAGAAGCUGAAUAUAGAGCUUUGGCUCAUGCUGCAUCAGAGGUCAUUUGGAUACAGUCCUUGCUUGCUAAGCUGAGAAUUCAGUUAAAUACUACACCAAUUAUAUGGUGUGAUAAUCAGGGUGCAAUAGCAUUGGCUUACAAUCUAGUUUAUCAUGCUAAAACAAAGCAUGUUGAGCUGGACAUUCAUUUCAUCAGAGAUAAAGCAGCAUCUAAAGAAUUAGUUGUUUGCUUUGUGCCUAGUGAAGAUCAAACAGCUGAUGUCUUAACUAAAGCACUCAAUUUCAUUAUUUGCGUAGCAAGUUAAAUGUUCAUCCUAGAAACCUCAGCUCAAGAGGGGAUGUUAGUGAAGCUGAUGAUUUGUAGAGAACAGAGAAGAAGCUUCAGUUUAAAAGGGGAUGUUAAUGAAGCUGCUUAAUAUGAAGAACAGAGGAAUCGAGUGCAGCUUAUUCAGCUGUGCUAGACUGCAGCAGAUUCACUCCCUCAGCUGACGUGGUAUAGUGACGUGGCUUAAUUAGUUACUCUGAAUAAGCAUUCUUCAUAUAUGUGUAACAGAUUACUAACAAAUUGUAACAAGCUAUUCUCAUGUCAUAUAAAUAUCUGUGUAAUCCGUUCAGAUCUAAUAAUAAGAAGUUUCUCAAGUCUUCAUUAUGAUAUUUUCUUUCAUUUUCUUUUAGCUUUCUCGCUUGCCAAACACAAAUACUUAAAGUUCUAUCAUCAUAUCGUCUAUUUGGUUACUGUUGCCUUGUUGACGCAUGUAUAGAAUAAUUACAUGUGUUAUUAUAAUUUUGGGUUCGAUAUCCUUGUAUUAGUGUCUAAGAUUUUCAUGAAGAAUUAAACUUGGAAUGACCAAAAGAGGAAGCUGCGGUGUAUUGUUGGACCCAAUUAAGUUGAAGAAAGUACUAGUUCACAACCUUAAGUUUGGAUAUAUUCUAAAGAAAUAAUUAAACAGCAAAUCAUCACAUGCACUUUAAUGAUUUGAUCUAUUGUUUUCAAAAGAAAUUGCAAUUAACAGUUUUUUUCAAAAGUUUGCAGUGCGUGAAACUAGUGUUAAUAUAAUUUAAAAAAUUACUUUCAUUAUUACUUUUUAAAAUGUUAAUUAUUAGAUAUAUUUUAAUAAUACAUUUAUAUUUAUUAACAAAAAUUUAGUUAAAUAUUUGUGUUAAAUAGAAUUUAUAAUUAAUAUAAUAUAUCUUAGGUAUUAAUAAUAUUAUAAUUAUUCUAUAUGCUAUUGAAAAUAAUUUAAAUUUUUAGACGUUUAUUUUCACAUUAAGUUUCUAUUUAUUAUAAAAUUUAGUUUAAUAUAGUAUAAGCUUGUAAAGUAUUAAAAUAUUUUUUCAUAUUUUUUAAAAAUAUUAAAAUUAUUUUAAAAUAUAUAUAUUAACAUUGAAGCCAAUUUUUUGAGUUAAUAGAGCUGGUAGGUGUUAUAGUAAAAAAGAGCAUCCUAGCAUCUCUUAUUGAAAAUAUAUAAAUCUAUAUAAUCAUUUUUUCAAAUAUUGAGAUGUAGUUAUAAAAGAAAAAAUAAAUUAAAAAAUUUUAAAUUUUAAUAUGGCCAUCGUAGAGUUAGAAUCCCCGCUCCAACCCGAUUUGGAGAUGCGCUUCGUCUAUUUAUGUUUUGGAAAAAAAAACCAAAGAAAAAAAAACAGUUAUGUAUGAAAUAAAUGAAAUAAAUAUAUAAGGAACUGACGAAAUAAAAUUAAAUCAACGCUAGUUUCACGUGGUGUGAACUUUUGACAAUCCCCCCAUAAAUACCUUUUCAAUGUUUCAAUUGUAAUGUCAUUGCCAUUAUUCAUAGUGGCAGACAAUGGACAUCACGGGACGGGAGAAGUCUAUGUUACGGCUUCAAUAAGUAACAGCAGCCAAUGGGGAACUUCCACGGGCGCUAGAGGAGAGAAAAAGAGGUCCCAAUGCAAGGUGAUGGAAAUGGAAAAGUUCGAAGCUGUUACUUUCAGCUUCUGCACCGUAGCCAUGUCCCACGGGACAAGGCUAGAAGUUAUCAUGACCAUAGACUUUCUAAUUUAUUUUUUCCUUUCAAAAAGGGACAAGGAUAAGUUUGGGAGAAUGAUUAUAUUUUUAAUAAAAGAAUUCUUUUUUUUUUAUAAUACUUUUUGUCUUUAUUAAUUUAAAAAUAUUGACUCUUAUAUUUUAAUAAAUAUAAAUAUAAUAUUAUAAUAACAUAUAACAAUAUAUACAAAUAUUUAAAAAAAAUUAAGAUUUUAUUAAAAUAAUUUUAUAAUAAAUACAAAUAUAUUAUUAAUAUAAUUAUAAUAAUUUGCAUUUUAAAAAGUAAUACUGAUAUUAAUUUUUUAAAUUAUAUUACUCUACUCAAAAAAUUAAACUAUUAAAUUAUAUUGAUAUUUAUUAAAAAAGUUGCAAUUAAUUCUUAUUAUAUUUUUAAUUGGAAUUUUUUCCUGAGAUAUAACAACAAUUGCUACAGUUUUUUCCCAAGUAAAGAUGGAGUUAUAAAUUAUUUGUAUAAGCGUCUGUGUGGAAACUAAUGUGACAUGAAAGUAAUAGUUGAAUAACAAUAAUGGGGCUUUAGGCAAUUUUUUUAUGAGGUCUUCUUGCAAUUUCAACACUUAAACAGACUUAUCCUUGAUCCCAAUUUAUUUACCCCAUUUGGGCCCAUGAUGAGAUAAAUAUAUUCCUGUGAGAUGAAAAACAUCAGGAGAAGAAAAUGUUUUAUUAUAAUAAAAAAAACAAGUGGUCCAUAAGUCUAUUUAUUACUUUUUUUAUUCAAUACAAAUGGCCAACUUAAAAAAUUGAUAAAAAUCACAUAACGCACAAGCGAAAAUUUAGAUUUACAUUUUUUAGUUCUCUCCGUGUCUCUCUUUCUCUUUUUUUUUUUAAAAAAUAAAAAUAAAUGUCAGUGUAAAAUUAGAAAAAUUUUAGAUAUAAACUUUGGCGAUGACCAAACAAAAAUUGCAAGGGAAAGAAAAUAGAGGACCCUUGAUAUCAUUGAAAUACUGAUCAUAGACACUACAAUAUAAAUAACUUGUUGUGAUCCACUAAACUUGUAACACUUUAAUCCAUACUCUAAAAUUUGUAUGUUUGUUAGGAAUUUUAUUAUUGACAUUACUGUACCAAUAAAAUUAUAAUUUAUUCAUAUGGAAAGAAAACAUCAAGAAAGGACCUCUGAUUUUUAUUAUAACAGAAAAAAGUGGUCCAUAAGCCUAUUUAUUAUUUUAUUUAUUCAAUACAAAUUGCCAACUUAAAAAAUGGUAAAAAUCACAAAAUGCACAAGUAAAAUUUUAGAAUUACAUUUUUUUAAUUCUCUUUGAGUCUCUCUCUCUCUCUUUAAAAAAUAAACCUCACUGUAAAAUUAGAAAAAUUUUAGACAUAAAAUUUGACAAUCACCAAACAGAAAAUGUAGGGAAAUGAAAAUGGAGGAGCCCUAUUAUCAUUAGAAUAUUGAUCAUAGAUACUAUAAUGUAAAUGAUUUGUUGUGGUUCAUUCAACCUGUCACACUCUAAGCCAUUUUCUAAAAUUUGUAAGGUUUAUAGGAUUUUUAUUAUUGGCAUCAUUGUAUCAAUAAUAUUAUAAAUGAUAUAUUCUAUUGUAAUGAAAAUUUGUGUAAUCUUAGGUAUUUAUUGUAUUAAAUUGUGUGGAUUAAUUAAGAAUAUUUUUGGAGACAAAAGAGGUGUGUGUACGUAGGAUUAAUAAUAAAAAAUUUCUAAAUAAAGGUGAUUGCUUCAUUGACAAGUACAUAUUUAUAUUCUCUAUUAGUAUUUGGGUUGUAAACUUUGUUUAUAAAGUGAAUAUAUUGUGGUAAGCGAUAUGGGCAAUAUCGGAUGCAAAAUAUUGAGAGAUCAUUAACGCAUAUAUUUAUUGAAGAUUGCAUAUAGAGGAAAGAGUGUAGAUCCGGCCGUAACAAUUAUGAGGCUUUCCCCAAGUAUACUCAUGCUUCCUUAACUGUUCCAAAGUAUUUUUCAUAGUGUGCAGAUUUACUUUAUGGUGUCUUAAUUCGUCUGAAAUGAUUACUUUAGUUCUUUUGGGAUGAAGGGUCAUUUAUUGUGUUAAUUUUAAACAAUAGAAAAAAUAAGUAAUUGUAUCGAAAGACUAAUUUGUGAUAUUGACGCGUACGGGCUUAACUCAAUCUAAAAAUUAAUAAGUAAUUAGCUCAAGAAUUAAGAGUUGUCCAAACCUUACAUGCUGAACCUAAGUUCAAUACUCAAUUGAUGCGGGAUGUUAUUCCUAACACCUCCUGUCAUGUGUAGGAUUGGCAAAAAAACUCGGGUCAGUCCCGCCUAGACCUGCGGGCUUUAUGCAUGGUCCGCAUGAUGAAGUUACGGAUAUUGACCUAAAAAUUUGAAACUUACUAUGAAUGGCCUUGCUUAAAGACUUUUGCAACUUUAAUUUAUAACAAGUAUGUAGAUAUACACACACAUAAGUUUAGAUUGCAUUUGGAUGACUUUUUUUUAUCAAUUCAAACAAUCCGAAAUUUAUCGGAUUAAUCCAAAUUUGAUCUGUAUCCAAUUUUGCCCGCCCCUACUAUUUAUAAGCCCAAGUGACUCUCUUUUACUAAUUAAUAAGGAAAUUUUUUACCUUAUAUCCUUGCUGUGGCGUUAGACUACUGGUCAUUUUGAUUGUUUCCUACCUUCCAUUUACGCCAGUUAUAACAUUGUAUUAUUCACCACUUUAGCCAUUUAAAUGAAAUUUUAUUUUCAUAAAAAAUAAAAUGACACCCUUAAAAUUUAAAAAAUAGUUAUGUAGAUCUCAAAUUUUUAAUAAAGAAUGUCAAUACCCCUUUUAACUACAAGAUUCUUAGUCGAUGAUAACCAAAAACAUUAACUUCAAAAUUUUUCACUAAAUGUAAAUCUGAUUGAAAUAGUUUAAAUUUUUCUAGUAGACUAAUAUGUAUAACUUAUAUAAUUAAUUUCAUUAUUAAUUUUUAAAAUGUUAAUUAAUAUAUUUUUAAUUUAUUAUAAAAAAUUUAAAUAAAUCCUUGGAUUAGAUAGAUUUUACAAUUAAUGUAAUACUUCUGAUUUAUUAAUAAUAUUAAAAUUAUUUUAUAUGAUAUUCAAAAUAAUUUAAACUUUUAUAUAUUUAUUUUAAUAUUAUGUCUAUUUAUUAUAGUUUGAUAUAAUACGGGAUUGUAAAAUAUUAAAAUAUUUUUCAAUAUCAAAUUAUUUUAAUAUGUAUAUAUUAUUACAUUUAUUUUAAUAUCACAAUUAUAUUUAUUAUAAAGUAUAAAAUUAAUAAAAUUAAAGAGUAUUGCAGUAAAGUAAAAAAAAAAAGUCUUAUUAUCCCCUAUUCACGAUAUGAGGUUCUACAAAAUUAUUUCCGGGUGUCCUUUUCUCAUUUUCAAAAGAAAAAAUAAAGUAAGAAUAAGUCCAAGGUUUCAAAAACUUCUAGUCCUAUCCCAGGACCUCCAUUGUCUGCUACUAUGACUAAUGGAAAUGACAUUGCAAUUGGCAUUGCCUUUCCCAACGUGACAAAUUUUUGGUAGCAUAUGGGAGAAUUGUCAAAAGUUCAUGCUGCGUGAGAGUUUUUGGUGGGAUGUGGGAGAAUUGUCAAAAGAUCACACCCUGUGAUAUAACCACAAUUGCUACAGUUUUUUUUUUUUUUAAUAAUGAUGGGAGUUAUAAAUUAUUUAUAUAAAUUUGCGUAGAAACUAAUGUAACAUAAAAGAAGUAGCUGAAUAACAAUAUUUGGUGCUUUAGGUGAAUUUUUAUAUGAGCCUUUCGUUUAUUUAGCGACUUUAGUGCUUAAACAAACUUUUCCUCGAUCUUAAUUUACUUACCCCAUUUAAGCCUGUGAUGACAUAAACAUAUUCUUUUGUGACGAAAACAUCAAGAAAAGACAUCUCAUGUUUUAUUAUAACAGAAAAGAAGUGGUCCAAACGUCUAUUCAUUCUUUUAUUUACUCAAUAUAAAUGGCCAACUUUAAAAAAAUGAUAAAAAUCACACAACGCUCAAGUAAAAAUUUAGAAUUACAUUUUUUAAUACUCUCUGAGUCUCUCUCUCCUACCCCCCAUUUUUUUUUAAAAUAAACCUUAGUGUAAAAUUAGAAGAAUUUUAGAUAUAAAAUUUGACAAUCGCUAAAUAGAAAAGCAGCGGAUUGAAAAUAGAAAAGCUCUAUUAUCAUUGGAAUAUUGAUUAUAGAUAAUAUAAUAACUUGUUGUGGUUCAUUGUAGCACUCUGAGCCAUAUUCUAAAAUUUAUAGGUUUGUUAAGGCAUUUAUUAUUGACAUUAAUGUGUCAAUACUAUUAUAAUUUAUUCAUUUUAUUGUAAUGAUAAUUUGUCUAGUCUUAGGUACUUAUUAUAUUAAAUUAUGUAAAUUAAUUGAGAAUACUUUUAGAGACAAAAGAAACACGUGUAUGUAGGAUUAAUAAUCGAAGAAUUGUAAAUGAAGGUGAUUGCUUCAUUGAGAGGCAUAUUGAAUAAUUAUGGAGAGUUGCACUAUUUCGGAAGCACAUAUUUAUACUUCCCUAUCAGGAUUUGGGGUAAACGAAGUGCUUUAUCUAUUGCAGUAAGCAAUGUGGGCAAUAUCAGAGGCGAAAUAUUAAAAGAUUAUAACGCAUAUAUUUGAGCCAUUUAUAUUGAAGACACAUAUAGAGGAAAGAGUGCAGAUCAGGCUUUCCUCAAGUAUUCUCAUGCUUCCGCAACUGUUCUGAACUAUUCUUCAUUGUGGGCAGAUUUACUUAAUUACCAACACUAUGAUUCAAUACUUCAAAGGUCGAGGAAAUGUCAAAAUAUGAAAUGAAAAUACUUAAAUACCCUUCUACCUAACAAAAUUUGGUACUUCUAAGUUCUAACUGCACUCGCAGAGAAUCUAUAAAAUUUAAAAAAAAAAUAUUCAUCCAUGAAAAGUUUCGUAACAGAAAAACCGUCUUUCAAAAAAAAUAAAAAUAAAAACAGAAAAAAGCGACUCAUUUAUCUGCAAAUGAACCAAUCGGGACUCACUUAAAAAAGAAUACAAAGCAAAAGUAAAUGACACAAAUUGCAUAGAUAUCUAGGAGCCGCAUCAAAGGACAAAGGUGUUAAUUUGUCCAAGAAUAAAUUCUCCUAGGUCAAAAGCAAUUAACGAUGAAAACUUUCUUCAUUAAGGUUCUGGCCUACGUAAAAAACAGAAAAAAUCACCCCAAGGUCAAAGCACAACGAUAAGUUUAGAAUUGGAGUUUUUAAUUUUUUUUUUAAUAAAUCAACGUGUAUCAAAAAUAGAUAAUAAUUUUGGAUAACUUUUUUUGAUAAAUAUAGACAUAAAAUUUUAAAAUCACCAAACAGAAAAACAGGGGAAUUAAAACAAAGUCCCUGUUUAUCCUCUAUUUUGCUUGUUAUUAAAAAGGGAAAUGAAAAGAUUGCAAGCGGAAAUUUUGUUUCUGCGUUGUCUCUUCUCAAUGCUGCAUGCAUUCAAAUUAAACCUUACAUAUAUGCUAGCAAACUAGCUACUCUGCAUGUAAGUUCUCGAUAAGUCCAAAUAAUAGAAUAAUUGUAAAAUGUUCAAAUUCAGUAAUUAAUUAUACAUAUUUAUUUAUUCAAAAAUUAUUAUUAUUAUUAAUUAUUGUCAAUAAUAUAUUAAUAUACUAAUUAAUUGUAAAAAAAUUUAUCAUUCAUAACAAUAAUAAUGAUGAUGAUGAUGAUAAUAAUAAAAAUUCAAAAUAUAUUAAUUAAUUAUAAUAAUAUAUUAAUUAUUUAAUAAUAAUAAUCAAUGAAAAAUGUAUAAAUUGAUUAGAAUAGUUGUAUUAAUAAAUUAUAAACAUAUAUUAAUUAAUCAUAAUAAUUUUUUAAUUGAGGACAAAAUAGAUAUUUUAUAGUUUGUCAGAGGGGGCAAAAUGAUCAAUCUUGGGAAUGGGGGAUUGAUUCCCACCACCUUCCUUAGGAAUCAAUCUUCCAUUCCUCAUUCCUAAUUUGGGUGGUCCCCAUAGUUCUGAUUCAGAUCCCAACCUCCAUUUUAUGAAGUAAACAUCAUUAAUGAUUUCGAUUUCGGAUUCCGAUUCUCCAAUUCAAGAAGUAAAGGCACCAUUAUUGUUAAUUGGUUCAAAUGCACAAAGAGAAUCUCUUUACCAUGUAGUUAGGCGUCAAGGUUGUGCUGCACAAGUAACCUUUUUCUUUUCUUUUUAUUUUUCUUGUUUUCCUUAACGGAUCAGAAGAAAUUGGUGCCUUUGAGAUACUACAAUGUAAAUAAGUACUUGUGGUUCAUUGAAUCUGUAACACUCGGUACCCUAAGGUUGCUUUUGAAAAAGGGCUUUUCUCACUGAUUGCUAAUAUUGAAGUAAGUUUGUUUCAUUUCAGAAGGUGCAAAGUUUCAAUCUUGUUGUAUUGGGAUGUAACAAACUUUGGCCUUAUAUGCCUGCUGUGACGUUAGACUGUUCAUUUUGAUUGUUUCCUGCCUUCCACUUACGCACUGUAGCACUGUAUUAUUCACCAUUUUAUCUCUUUAAAUGAAAUUUUAUUUUUGUCAAAAAUAAAAUGGCACCAUUAAAAUUUAGAAAAAGAGUCAUGUAGAUUCCAAUUUUAUAAUAAAGAAUAUCAAAUAUUCCCGUUGACUAUAAUACCUUUAGCAGGUCGUAAUAAAAAAAAUUGACUUCAAAUUUUUACGAAAUGUAAAUAUGAUUUAAAUAAUUUAAAUUUUCUAGUAGACUAAUAUAUAUAAUUUAAAUAAUUAAUUUCAAUAUUAAUUUUUUAAAUAUAAAUUAAUUUAUUUGUAUUUAUAAAAUAUUUGUAAUUAUUUUAAAAUUUUAACUAAAUCCUUAGGUUAAAUAGAUUUUACAAUUAAUAUAAUAUUUCUCAUGUAUUAAUAAUAUUAAAACUAUUUUAUAUGAUAUUGAAAAUAACCUAAAUUUUUAUAUAUUUAUUUGAAUAUUAUGUCUCUAUUUAUUAUAAUUUGGUUUAAUAGAAUACGAGAUUGUAAAAUAUUAAAAGUUUUAGAUAUUGAAAUUAUUUUAAUAUGUAUAUAUUAUUAUAUUUAUUUUAAUAUCCUAUUUAUAUUUAUCAUAAAUUAUUAGAGUUAAUUUUUUUAGUUAAUAAAUUUAAAAAUAUUAUAAUUUUUAAAAAAAGUCUUAUUGUUCGUUAUUCACGAUAUGAGGUUCUACAAAAUUAUUUCUCUAGACGGGUGUCCUUUUCUUAUUUUCAAAAGGAAAAACAAGUUCAGGGCCUCAGGGGUUUCAAAAAAUUCUGGUCCUAUUUACCACUAUGACUAAUGGGAAACGACAUUGCAAUUGACAUUGCUUUUCGCAAUAUGACAUAUUAUUGGAGGGAUAUGGGAGAAUUGUCAAACAUUCACACCACACGAGAGCUUUAGGUGGGAUAGGGGAGGAUUGUCAAGAGUUCACACCACAAGAAACUAAUGAUAGGCCUAAUUUCGUUGUCAAUUCUUUAUUUAUUAUUUUUUUUAUUUCAUACAUUAUUGUUCUUGUAAAGGUAUAAAAGUAAAGUAAAAUACUAGGGGUGCUGUUAAGUUACAACUGAUGUAACUUGUAAUUUUUUCAAAAAUAAUGUAAAAAAUUUAAUAGGUGGUGGGACCCACAUAUUUUUAAAGAGACUUAAGUUACAGCAGUUGUAACCUAACAAAAUCUAAAUAUUAGACAAUAAUGCAUAUUAAUAAUGCAUAUAAUUUGGGUUUGAUUUUUAAAAGAUUAUUUGAGUACCACCUAUCCUUAUGAUAUUAAUGUGAUUAUAUCUUAAUAUUAAAUAAUCAAAAUUUGUUUAAUUAUUAUUUGUAUUUCAUACAUUACAUAUUAGAUUUGUUUGAAUUUUAAGUUGUUGCUAAUAAAUAUUUAUGUUGUCAAAGUCAAAUUCAAUAGCUACAAAAGCAAAGAUAAUGGUGUUGUAUAUAGUUUUUAAGAAUGCAAGGAUAAGCUUGAUAAUUGACAUAAAUUCUAAUGAUUAAAAGAGCAACUAUCCCUUAAAUUAUAAUGUUAAUUUCUUUAAUUAGAAUUUUUUUUUUCAUGCGAUAUAACCACAAUUGCUACAAUUUUUUUAUAUAAAAUUUGGGUUGAAACUAAUGUAACCUAAAAGUGGUUGCUGAAUAACAAUAUUUGAAACUUUAGGUAAUUUUCAUGAGUCCUUUUUAUAUUCAGCAACCUGAAUUGGGGGAAAUCCGACUUGAAUUGGCGGUUGAUUUUGGUGAUGUGGCUUUUGGUUUAUGGCGGCUUUACAGUGGCGGAAGACUGGAUUUACGGUUGCUGACUGCUAGGGAUUAUGGUGGUGGUGUAAAUUGGUGGAAAAAGAAGGUGUUUUGGUGGCGGCCCGUGUAGGAAGCACUCGUGGGUUGUCGUUUCGUGUGGUGACAGAGGGUGGCGAUCAAGGGCUGAAGUCGGUUGGUUUUUGGUCAACGGAGGCCGGCGAGUUUGUUGGUGGAGGUGGCUGGUACAGAAAGUGGCUGAAUGGUGGUGGGUUGCUUGGUGGAGCCGCGGGUUUGGGUUGGUGAUUUGCAGCUGUUCAAGCGGCGGUUGGGACAGCGAUGACUGAGGCUUGGUCGACGGUGGCUAGUGAGGUUUGUGGUGGUGUUGGUUGGCUGAUUGGCGGUGGUGGGCGGCGGUGGAGGUUGGUGUGACGAGUAGGGUUUUCAAAUUUGUAAUUUUUUUUUUGAUGGAUUUGGUUUGGAUGGGUAUGGUGUAUCUAGGAAAGAUGUGUGAUUCGCACAUAAUUGCUUUGAUACCAAUUGAUGGAGCGAGGCGUAGCGGAAGCGGAAUUGAUAGGGUAAGAAAUACUAGAUAUCGUUCUAGUACUGGAUCAAGCCAACGCGAAUAGCUUACGUUCUAAUCGAAGCGUGAUUAGAUAUCGUUUUAAUCCAAAUGACUCAAUGAGAUUUUUAAUAACGCAUAAUACGAGAUUAGAUGACACUCUAAUCCAAACGACUGUAUAAGAGAGAUUUUGAUAAAUAAUACUAGAGGAAAUUAUAAAAAAAAGGUUUUAUUUAAUAAUUGAACUUGAAGUUCUGAAAACAAUGACAAGACAUCUUUAUUUUUUUAUUACAUACAUCUUUAUUUAUAAUAAAAGAAACUCGUUUUCCUAAGUUAACCUAAAAAGAAAAUUUAAUUCAUAAUUAUAAUGGAAAUAAAAGAUUAAGAUACAUACUAUAAUUGACUCAAACAAAAAUAGAAAACCAUAAAAUAAUAAAUAUUCUAGAAUUAUAAAUUAUCUAAAAUAACGUUAAUUAACUUCCUAAACCACUUCUUUGGUGUAAACCAUUUUGCAUCCAACCUUGCUUUAAAGGUUUGAACCAACGUUACGAACAACAAUGUAUCAAAUUCCAAUCUAACUUAAGAUCCUGAUACAUCUACCAAUGUCCUUGUUUGAUUAGACAAUAAUGAGUCUAUCUCAUCACUUGUUACCUCUUUCUUGAAGGCUGCAUCUGGUGAAGUGAUAGCCUCGCUUAGAGUUUAAAGAUCUUCUUCCAUGUUAAAUAAAAUGGGCAUUUGAUUAAAAAACUUUAUCUCUAUCUCCUUCUAUCAAAUAACGAAAACCAUCCAAAAGGAAAAAAAAAAUUAGAAAAGUCCAUGGGUCGCAAUAAUUUAUGGUCUGUCCUCGGACCCCAUUAUCUGCCACUAUCAAUGAUGAAAAUGAAAAUAAAUGGCAUCUUCCCAAAAUGGCGAAAGAUUUUUGGGGGAUAUGGGGGAAUUGUCAAAAGUUCACACAACGCGAAACAAGUGCUACAUCCAAUUUUAUUUCGUCAUAUAAAGAUAAUAUCAAGUAAAUGACAACCAUCCAAAAGUAUAAUGGGUCUUCCAAAAUUUUGAAAAUAUCGUCAACAUUUAAUCUUCAAUGCUAAAGAAGAUGAAAUGCCCAAAAAUGACAUGCAGGACCCACUCACAGACUAAAUGGCCCUGACCACAUGUAACAAACUUUGACCUUAUGUCCCUGCUGAGGCGUUAGACUGAUGGUCAUUUUGAUUGCUUUUUACAUUCCAUUUACGUCAUUAUAGCAUUGUACUAUUCACCAUUUUAGCUGUUUAAAUGAAAUUGUUUUUUUUUUUUCCAAAAAUAAAAUGACACCCUUAAAAUUUUAGAAAAUAGCCAUGUAGACUCCAAAAUUUUAAUAAAGAACACUAAUAUCCUUUUUUACUAUAGUACUCUUAGUAGAUGGUAACAAAAAAAAAAAAAUGGUUGCAAAAUUUUUUACUAAAUGUAAAUAUGAUUUAAAUAGUUUAAAUUUUCUAGUAGACUAGUAUGUAUAAUUUAAAUAAUUAAUUUUUAAAAUGUAAUUUAAUAUAUUUAUUUUAAUAAUAUAUUUAUUAUAAAAAUUUUAAACAAAUCCUUGGGUUAAAUGGAUUUUAUAAUUAAUAUAAUAUUUCUCAUGUUUUAAUAAUAUUAAAAUUAUUUUAUAUGAUAUUGAAAAUAAUUAAAAAUUUUAUAUAUUUAUUUGAAUAUUAUGUCUCUAUUUAUUAUAAUUUGGUUUAAUAGAAUACGAGAUUGUAAAAUAUUAAAAUAUUUUUAGGUAUUGAAAUUAUUUUAAUAUGCACAUAUUAUUAUAUUUAUUUUAAUAUCCUACUUAUAUUUAUUAUAAAAUAUUAAAAUUAAUUUUUUUAGUUAAUAAAUUUAAAUAAUAUUAUAAUAAAAAAAAGUCUUAUUGUCUGUUAUUCACGAUAUGAGGUUCUACAAAAUUAUUUUCAAAAGGAAAAAUAAGUCCAGGGGUUUCAAUAAAUUCUAGUCCUAUCUGCCACUAUGACUAAUGGAAACGACAUUGCAAUUGAUAUUGCUUUUCGCAAUAUGACAAAUUUUUGAAGGGAUAUGGGAGAAUCGUCAAAUGUUCACACUACGCUGGAGUUUUGGAUGGGAUCGGGGAGGAUUGUCAAGAGUUCACACCACAAGAAACCAAUGAUAGCCAUAAUUUCGCUGUCAGUUCUUUGUUUAUUUAUUUUAUUUAUUUCAUACAUUGUUGUCUUGUUGGCAUUGUUUUGUAAAGAUAUAAAAGUAAACUAUUAGGGUGCUACUAAGUUAAGCUAUUGUAACUUACAAUCCCUUAAAAAAUAAUGUAAAAAAUUUAACACGCUGUGGGAUUGACAUAUGUUUGAAGAGGCUUUAAGUUACAGUAGUUGUGACUUAGCAAAAUCCAAAUAUUAGACAAUAACGCAUAUUAACAAUGCAUAUAAUUUGGGUUUGAUUUAAAAAAAAAAUUAUUUGAGUAUUAACUAUCCUUAAGAUAUUAAUGUGAAUAUAAUUUAAUAUUAAAUAAUCAAAAUCUGUAUAAUUAUAAUAUAUAUUUCAUACAUUGCAUAUUUAAUCAAAAUCUGAUUGCUUUUUACCUUCCAUUUACGCCCACUGUAGCAUUGUACUAUUCACCAUUUUAGCUGUUUAAAUGAAAUUUUUAUUUUUUUCCAAAAAUAAAAUGACACCCUUAAAAUUUUAAAAAAUAGUCAUGUAGACCUCAAAAUUUUAAUAAAGAACACCAAUACCCUUUUUUACUAUAGUACUCUUAUAUUAAAAGACCAUAACACAUGUAUUUGAGCCAUUUAUAUUGAGGACACAUAGAGCGAAGAGUGCAGAUCCGGCCGUAACUAUUGUGAAGUUUUCCUCAAGUAUUCUCAUGCACACAGCCCUUAUCUGGUCAAGUUUUCUGAUUCAAUAUAAUCAAUUUCCAAGCAGUACUGACGACAGCUUCUCUGUAAAGCUCUUCAACCACAAGCAUUUCUACAAGGUAAAAGACUAGGACGUGUCGGAAUGAAUAUCAAUAAGGGAAUGUCUUAUGAAUUUAGUUUAUAUCCUAAUAUAAGACAAUCAGUAAAUAUUGGAUGCAAUCUAAGGGCUAACAUUUGAUUGAUCAUUAUACGAACAAAAAAGGUACAAAAAUACAAAACAGAGCUGAUUGAUGGCCUCUCACAGUCAGUUAUAUGACAAAGUAGCCACCACAACAAACUUGAACUUGGCUGGAGGUCUCAUUAGCAGUAUACCUCAGAAAUUAAGACACAGACUUUAAAAUGCAAACUUAUGGAGAAAUUUAGGCACUGAAACUAACAACAGUAUGGUAUUAGCAAUUGACCUAUGCUUUUGCUUAGACAAAGGUUCUCAUCACAAGGGACUCAUUAGUUGCCCUUGCCUCACACUUUUGGAUGCUAAGGGGAAAAAGGAAGUUUGAAUUAGUCAAUCUCAUUUCUAAUGGCAUUCACAGAGAACCUAUAAAACAAAAAAAUUAUAAAAAAAUUCAUCCAUAAAAAGCUUAGUAACGGAAAAACCGACUCUUUUAUCUGCCACUGACCUAAUCCGAACUCAUUUAAUUAAAAAAGAAUUCAAAGCAAAACUAAAAGACACAAAUUGCAUACAAGUCUAGGAGCCAUAUCAAAGGCGUUAUAUAACUUGUCCAAUUAAUAAAUUCUCUUAGGGGUCAUAUCGUGCUCACUCAUUUCCAAAGCAAUUAAUGAAAGGCUUGGCAAAACCCCGGGUCCGGUCCGGGUUUGGUGCUGCCCGGGACCGGACCGGAUGACAGAAACUGCUACCCAGACCCGGGCUAAACCCGACUUUUACACGUGCGGUCCGGGCUUGAACCCGGCAUGUCCCGGGUCCGGGUUUUUUAUUCGGGCUUCUAAACCCACAUGGGAUCUUGCUCACAUUGCUUGCUCCAAACACCUUUGUGCACUUUGGCAAAUUUCUUCGGCUCAUCAGAGCGAAAAUAAGGUGCAAAAAUACAGGUGGGAAUACAUUUUCUUUUCAGUAACUUGCAGGCUGCACAAGAUGAGCUUGACCGAGGUUCAUGUCCCCUCAUGGCUUUAAAAAACAUCCACUAAUUCAGCUGUUUAUCAUGAUUUUAUCUCCAAAACGAAUCAAAGGGAAUCCAUCCAACAGAGACAUCCAUAAAGAUUUUCAAAUUUUUCGUUCAUUUUUCUCACCCAAAUAUCAACAAGCAACAUGGUGGUUGAGAAAGCGGCGAUGGAGAGUUGGAGACGGUGGCGCUGACGGCACCGGAGAGGGCUGCACGAAGACCUCACUGUCACAGCCGCACUGGAGAUAGAGCAACCGAGCAAAGCCGCAUGCCAAAGUCAAGUCAACAAACGAGAAGAGAUGAUGCCGACGGGCGACGAUGGGUGGUGGCUGCUGCUGGGUUUAAGUGUUGGAGGUGUGGUCCACAACGUUGCAGUUGCUGCUUAUGCUUUUUCCAAUUAGGUUUCGAUAGAGAAUUAGGGAUUUGAGCAUUUGGCUAUUUGGUUUUUGAUUUUUGUUUAUAUAUAUAUUAAUUUUAUUAAAAAACUGGGUCUGAGUCCGGGUUCCGAGUUUUUAGUGUUGAACCUGGAAUCGUGCCCGGAUAUGUGCGGGUUUGAGAUGUCAUAUCCAGAUCCGCUUUUUUAGUGUAAAAACCCGGACCGGAUUGGCCGGGUCCGGUCCGGGCGGGUUUUUUUGACACCCCUGUUAAUGAUAAGCACAAGGAUAAGUUUAAAAUUACACUUCUUAAAUUUUGGUUAAUAAAUAAACGUCUAUAUGAAAAUAGAAAAUCUUUUUGGAAUAAGCUUUUUUUUUCUUUUUUAAAUGAGUGUAGACAAUGAACAAUUACUUAAGCAAAACAGACCAUGAUACAAAGCAAAUUUAAUAAAAUAACAAAGAAAGAAAGAAAGAAAAUACAACAAACAAUAUUGAAGUGUUGAUCAUGAGUCAACUGAUAUUUAAACAGAUUUUUAGUUUUUUAAACAAAUACAACAAAUACUACUAAAAAAGUAUUAAAUAAUGACAGAAAUUUUAUGACAUAUAUCGUUGUGUCAUGAAUGUGACAUAAGAAUAUGAUAAAUUCAUGAUAUAUAUUCAUAUGUCCAGAAUAUAUGACAUAUUCAUGACUUAUAACUAAACUGUCGUAAAUAAAUGAUACAUGAUUAACGACACCGUUCUGUAUAACUUAAAACACAUCAACACUUCCGCCAAAUUUUGGCUAAGCGUUGAAUAAAUCCCUCUCUCCACUGGCCACUGCAACCGAAAAUGAAUCAACUCUGAGCCUCUCUCUAUAACACUAUAUAGAACCCUAAGCCUAAGUCUCACAUUCGCAACCGCCCCACAUAUCAGAACCACAGCGAACUGCCUCCGACCCUACGGACCCAAAAAAAAUUAUUGUAUUCCUGCUCUUUCACUUCAAUAAUUUUUUGUAUUAUUCCAUAUCUUUCACUUUAAUAACCCAAAAGCUUUCCUCUGUUUCAACCCAAAAGCUCAAAUUCCUUUUUUCAAUCGAAAUAAAACGUAGCCACAAAACCCUAAUUCACCAGACCAAUUUAUCUCUGCCCGGUAUUCAUUUAAACCCUACCUCGCGGUUCAAUGUCAUUCAAUACGAUUGCAGAUGCCGUUUCAACUUGACAUUUAGUUAGCGCCAUCAAGUUCUCUAUGGUAAGCCUUAACCCUAACAACUAAUCGACUGUGGUCGCACGUUGCUUGUUAGGAGUGGGGAUACAUUAUUUGAAUAUAUGAAUUGGGUGAUGUUAGUGAUUCAUUCCCCUAUUUGUCGUGAAUUGAGAUUUGUGUAUAAUGCUAGUAAGAUUGCUAAAAAUUUCAUAUUUUGUAUUGUUCCAGUUGAAUUUCUUGCUUGUGGAAGAUAAAACAAAAGUUCAAUUUCAUGUUGAUUUAAUUCUUCUUUUCCUUCUUUUUUUUUUCUUCUUUAUAGUCACGCUCUGGCUUUGGUGCUAUGCUUAGUGCAUUUUAUGGUUUCAAGAUUAACUCAUGUUUAUUUGAUGGCAUCGAUUCCAUCGUUGAGGAUUGGAUUGUUGAUCAAGUGCACAUAGUAAGCUCUUCUUAUUUUAUCUCAGUUUUACUUUUCUUUUAUUAUCUGCCUCUACCUAAAAAUGGACGUGUUUUACUAGUAAGCAUGGACUUUGUUUAUUUAAUUGAUAUUUUAAUUUUAUGUAUAAGAAUGGAGGUUUAUUUUGAGAAAAAAAAAGAAAUAAAAAAAUAGACUCUGUUGAAGCUAAUUAGUACUGAUUUUUUUUUGGUGGUGCGGCCAGAGGUGGAAACAGGGUAUGAAAAUGUGUUACUGGUGAGGUUGCUGCUUAAGAUGAGAAUGCAUUCUUUCCAAAAAUCCUUGGUAGUUGUGAUCUAAUUAUAUUUGAUGGAAUAUUAAAUGGCUAAAAAUCUGUCAUACGUUCAAACUUUGUUGUGUUUAGAAGAAUGGUGUUGACUGUAUAUUUGUUUGGAAGAAUGGUGUUGAUUGUAUAUUCAUUUGCUUAGCCUUUUGACAGAUGUAUUUGGAACUGACGAUAAAUGUGAUUCAAUUUACAAGGUUUUCGAGGGGCUCACCGUGGAAGGGAUAUUGAAGAAUUGGUCUAGGAUAAAGCCUAUGAUUGUGAAAGAUUGGAGUGAGAAUAUAGAUGCUCGUUUUCAUCUUUUUGGCAAGGUCAGAGAUGAAUGGAUAGAUAAGGAUUUAUUUGACUACUUGGACUGGUGCUAAUAGGUAUUUUAGGCAAGCUUUUUGAGAUAACACUGAGCAAGUUAUACUACUAGAUAUAUAACAUGGGGAAACUGUGGUACAUGGGGAAACUGUGGUACUGUGACCCAGUUAUAUUCAACCAUUGAAUGCCAGUGGAUCCUAUCAAUCCAAGUGCAUCCAACGACUUGACUUCAUGAAAUUCUACUUCAUGAAAUUCUUUUAAUUUAAAGCGUGUUGGUGUGAGAAGGUCAGUUUGACUGAUUAAUUCUUUUUAACAGUGGUCGAGAUAAUUUUAUUAUACUAAAAAAUAUUCUUAUUCUGAUAAUGCCACAAAUGUUAUAUUAUUUUCUUCGGCUAAUGAUCUUCUAUCAGGAGAGGUUAGAAAUCAAAUGCUUAAAAAACCAAUUGAACGAAUAAUACAAAAAUUUAGGUAGAAUCUAAUCGAAUAUUGCUCUUAAACGGAGAAUGCAUCAAACAAAAUCCAAAGUGUCUUGCAAGUCUGUAGCAUGAGCAAAAAAUUGUAAAUAUGUAGAACCAAAUUAUUGAAGUACAGAAGAGCGAGCAAGCUAAAUCAUGUAUAAGAGAUUGGCCUGGUUCGGGAUAGAUUCUUCACUGUACCUGAAGGAUUGACUCAAUCUCUUCUUUAGAAUUCUGCAGAUUUUGUAAUUACUCGUGUAAGCAAGCAUACAUUGCCACCAUAAGAAUAAUAAAGUCAUACAUUGCCACCAUAAGAAUAAUAAAGUUAGAGUAAUGAUAUGACCACCACCUCUUGUGCACAAAUAAUAUUAUAUAAACUAAUGCAACAUAAUAUGAUUGGUUAAACAAAAACAUUACAUGGCCCUCAUAAUUUAAUAAUUUAUUAAUUUAUUAUUAUUAUAUAUUUUCAGUCAACCAAUCAUAUUAUAUCACAUUAGUUUCUAUAAAAUAAUUUGCUAAUAGCUAAUCACAUAUCCUUCAUCAUCAUCAUCUUCUUCGGUGACGUUCACUUUGUUUAGCAUUGGUGUGUCUAAGACUCCUUGAGAGAAGAUCUUCAUUUUUGGACACUGUCUCACAAAUGCUCGUUUCAAGGACGGGAAUUCAAGAGCGUAAUUACCUAAACAAAAGCUUGUUAGGCUUGGCAAACAAUCAAGUCCCAAGUACUUUAAUUCCUUGAAAACAACGCAAUCUUUCGCUUCUUCUCCAACCUGCGAUUGUAUGAUUUCUUCCAUCAUUUUGCAAUCAGUUAUCUUCAUUCUUUUAAGAUUCACUAGACUUUCAAAUGUUGAGAGCGCCAAUAAAUUUAUCAACCCAUGACACUUCGAUACUUCCAGAAUCACAAGAUUUUCCAAAUGCCACGAAGCUGGUACUAAUUUCUGCAACUUACUACAUUCAAAUAUUUCUAGUCUUUUCAAGUUUGCAAACACUUUGUUGGAUUCGUCAUUUUCCUUCCAGAUAUGCUGCACUUUGUGUAAUCCAGAUAGCUCUAAAGAUUUCAAUUGAGGGAAUGCAACCUGAAAAUCAACAAAAUUAAGUUGUAAAUGAAAAUAUGUAUCCAAUCUCUGCAGUCUUCCCCUGCAUAUUUUAUGGACAAGAUUAAUCACGGCAUUUUAUAUUUUAUUUCCAAAUUAGUAUGCUUUGCAGUAGGAUCCCAAAUAUAAGUAUCAAAUAGAUUACCCUUUGAAACACAUAAAUGAAAUCUGAGGCUAAAUCCAAUAUGAAUUAGCUAGGAAAACAGAGAUGUAACACACAUAAUUCAUAUAGUUCAUCACCUCAUGUUAUCAGGCAUCCAAUUAAUUUAAGACAUUUUUAUAAUUCAUACUAUAAAGUUAGUUAAUAAUGGAGGUUAUAUUGUUAAAUCAGAUAUAAAUUAAGACGACGUGCAAAAAGAUGAGUCAUUAAAUUUGAUUUGAUUCUAAUGAAAUUACAUCUAUGCGAACGAAAGUGAAGGGAAAAAUAAAAAUAAUAAUAAUAAUCACCUUUUCAUCGAAGAGGGGUUGUACUUGAUGAGCCAGCAAGAAGUUCUCUUCUGAUGUUAAUUUUUGAGGUUCCUUGUUAUCUGUUGUCACGUGCACUACAGAGUUGGAUAUGAAUGUUUCCAUAUCAGGGCAAUUAUGAAUAGUUAGAUAUUUUAACUCAGGCAGUUCAAUUAUAUUCCCAGUGAAGUUGCAGAAUCUUUUGAGUUUUGGAAGUCCACUGAGGAUUAGCCCGGAAAGCUUAGGAAACAGGGGGCCUAUAUUUUCUUUGUCAGCAUUUAGCUCUUCCAAAUGAAACACCUCUUCUAUUGAAUCACAAUUCCUCACUUGCAGCCAUUCCAAAUUGUUCAAGCACCGUAGCAGAUUGGCAGGAAUAGCACUCGACAUAUUCGGGCAGUCAUCCACCACCAGGCGUCUUAAAUUGUUGAAGAAGCUGCCAGGCAGUGCUUGGCCAUGCCAUAUUUCUUGCAAACGUGGAAAAUCUGAGAGUUGCAAAUACUCUAUAUCACGGAAUCCAAUCUGCACAAACCAAAACAAUUGCACUGGAUAUAUACAAUUUUUUUGAAAGGCAUUAGAUAUAUAUACAUUAAACUUACAUGUUUUGUGUUUUAACUUCUAAAAAUAUAUAUACAAGGCAGGUGUAUAUAUUUAAAUGUGCAAGUGCAGGGGAGAUGCAUGAACAAUUUGGGUGAAUCGAUUAACACAUACCAUCUUUUUGUAACAUGUGUUUAAAUGUGCAAGCGCAAUGGAGAUGCAUAAGCAAUUUGGAUGAAUCAAUUAACACAUACCAUUUCUUCGUAAUACUUUUGUAUAGUGGAAUUAAGCUUAUUGCCUUCCCAAAGGUGCAGUUCACCCUCUUCCUUUUCAGUCACUUGCAUUUUGCAUGGCUUUGGAAUGGAUAAGAUUCCCUGAGAAAAAGUCUUCACGUUCGGACAAC